rnacentral:rRNA from 1 species
UACGGAGGGGACUAGCGUUGUUCGGAAUUACUGGGCGUAAAGAGUACGUAGGCUGUUUUGCAAGUUGGGUGUGAAAGCCCGGGGCUCAACCCCGGAACUGCAUUCAAAACUGUGAGGCUAGAGAUCGGAAGAGGUAAGUGGAAUUCCCAGUGUAGAGGUGAAAUUCGUAGAUAUUGGGAAGAACACCAGUGGCGAAGGCGGCCACCUGGCCCAUAACUGACGCUGAGGCGCGAAAGCGUGGGGAGCAAACAGG